GGACAGAAGCAGUGUCCAAGAGAAAUGCAAAGACUUGCCAGUGGGGCCCUUGGCCUCUUCAUGUUGCUGGUAUGUUACUUCAUCCUCAGGAGUAGCUUAGGAUGUCAUUUGAAGCUAACCUAGCAGAAAUGCCAUGGUUGUGUGCUAGGAAAAUUAGGGCAUUUGGUUCUCUGUAAUUUUAUUAUAAUGCCUAAGAACCACUUUGAAACUUUUCACUUAAUGAAGGGUUUGGCCAGUCCUGUUGUUUAGAGUUAAAAUUGAAGCUGGAUUCCUAAAAGGUGUAUUUUUUUAAGGUUCAUUGGUAUUUUAAUAGAGGAAGAUAAGCUCAUUCAAAUCUGCCCUGACUCAACUGUCCUUGGAAGCCUCAGUACUAGUGUAGGGGCCAUAGAAUACUCAGGCACUUUAUCUUGAGCCAUUAAUUGGUAAAAGAAUAGCUUGUCAGGAGACCCUGCUGGGCUGUUAGUAUGUCUUUCUGUCGUUGUUAGGUGACACAUCCUAGGACCUGUAGGACAGUCUUUCUUCAGGUUGUUUUCAUAGUAUAAAUAUUCCAAAUGUGGAUGUGUUUUUGAACCUAGUGAGUUUUUUUUAAAUCAUUGUUAAAAUGUAUUCUCGUUGUUUAAAAUAUUUUGUGCAGUUUCUCUUGUUUCCAUUGUUUAAAAAAAGUUAUUCCAGGAGUCAAGUACCAAAUUGAAACAUUAAGAUAUUUAAAAUAUCAAGCAUUGUGAAUGAAGCACUGAAUUGAGACACUUGCAAUUUGGACCUGGUGUAUCCAUUGACUUGCGGUGUGAUUUUUGGGCAAGUCAUUUUUAAGCACUAACUGCCUCAGCUUAACCAUCUGUAACGUGAGGAUAAUAUGUGCUCCCCUCCCCCUCUCUACCUCACAGGGGUGUCAUAUGAAUAAAUGGGAUACAUGAAGCUUUUGUCACUCCUUAGAAGACAAGUGCUGGAUAAAUCCAAGAUAUUAUUUGAUUUUUGAAUCCAGUAUUAUUGGAUACCUCCAGGUAACCACAGCAGAAGAUUGAGAUAACAUAUAGACAGUACUUUGAGCUCCUCAGAAGAAAGGUGCUCUGAACAGCCAAGGUGAUAUUGAUGGUGGUGGUGGUAUUUUGUAUAUUUGUAAGAUGGGGAAACUGAGGCACAGAGAGGUUAAGUGGCUUGCCCAAGGUUACAAAAUGAGUCAUUGACAACCCUGGAGACUGAAGACCUAUUUAUUCACAGACCAGGAAGAAACUGAGACCCCAAACAGUGAAGUGACUUCAGACAGAGACAACAGAUAAACAGGAAAUGAAAGCAGGUACCUACAAAAUGAGAUUAUGACAUUAUCAGAUUACUUUUGACUAAAAUUGAUUCAGAAUCUCUCUUUAAUAUUCAAAUACCCUCCUACUUAGUUUUUUUAAAGUGAUUGGUAAUCUUGACCCUUUGACACUGAGUAAAGCCCUAGAUUAUACUUUUUGUACCCCGAGUUCAGUCAUAAAGUGAAGUCUUUGCCAUAUUUUGCUUGGGAAGAAUGGAGGAAAGAGUUGUACAAUCUGGUAAAUGGCAGCUCUGUAGCUGCAAUAUGAGAUUUUAUUGGUUUAUUCAUUCGACACUGCAUUUUUCUUGAUUAGUUUAUUAUUCUAAUAGUGAAUACAGAGAGGUCAGAUUACUUAGCCACCAUCACACAUAUGAUAAGGAUGAGCAGUAGAAUUCAAACCCAGGUCCUCCGAUUCCAAAUCUAGGGCUCUUACCUCUGUGCCAUAAAUGUCUCAUUGGCAAAAUUUCGAUUGAUACAUUGGUUUUCUUUGCACUCAGAUUUGUUUGGUCCAUUGUAAUUCCUCUCUACCUGCUUGGCACUACAAGGUGGAAAGAUUAUCCACAUUGAAUGGAAGGAAAGGCACUGCUUUUAAUGCAACACCAAUAGAGGGUAUCACCAAAAAACUCCUGCUGGAAAAAGGAAGACCAACUUCCUUUAUAGAAGUGAAGCCAUUUGAUUAGAUGUCCAAGCCCCUCUUCUAAUCUAGGUCCAUUGGUAUUACUUAAUUUCGUGAUGUUAAUGAACGCUUCUGUUCUACUUAAGUAUUUGGAUGAAUUUUCAAUCUCGUAACUGACACACCAGUACAGAUUCAGUCCUUUUGCUUUUGAUACUUAUUUACCCAUAAUCUCAGUUUAAUGUUAAUGAGUGUCACUAAAUUGAAAGGGUUACAAGUGUGAAAGUGUCUCCUAUACAUAGACACACACACACACACACACAUACAUACAUACGUAUAUUACCUGAUUAUUCAGUGGAGGGGUAUCAGCUUGGGUGCCAAUUUAUACACCAGAUGGACUUUCUCAUUCUUUUUAUUGUCUUUCUUUAAAUAUCCUAUAUAUAGUCUCCACCUCAAUACACUGGAAGCCUUCAUGUAGUUCUUUUCAUAUCUCUGGGGUACCAUCAGGCCAUCUCGUUACGUGAACAGCCCACCUCCUUUACUGGUCAUACAUGCCUUUGAUGAUUGUCUAAAAAUCAUAUGCUUCUAUAUUACUUAGCUCAAAAUCAGAAUUUAAAAUUUACCCUACUAUGAACACCGUAGGUAGCAUCUUGACCCUUGUAAGAUUUUAAAGCCUGUGUACCAUAUUCCCCUCUUUCUUCUGAUGCAACUUUUCCAUUUACAAAGAUCUUUUUUGUCACUCUCCUCAUCCUUUUUUUAUGGUGAUUACAAUCACCAUAUGAUAGUUUCAUUCAGACUCAGCCCUCAAUCAUUAGAGGCAGCUGGUGGCACAGUAGAUAGAGUACUUGGCCUGGAGUCAGGAAGAUCUCAACCUGGUCUCAGAUA